UAGGGAAUCUUCCACAAUGGACGCAAGUCUGAUGGAGCAACGCCGCGUGAGUGAAGAAGGUUUUCGGACCGUAAAGCUCUGUUGUUGGUGAAGAAGGAUAGAGGUAGUAACUGGCCUUUAUUUGACGGUAAUCAACCAGAAGGUCACGGCUAACUACGUGCCAGCAGCCGCGGUAAUACGUAGGUGGCAAGCGUUGUCCGGAUUUAUUGGGCGUAAAGCGAGCGCAGGCGGAAGAAUAAGUCUGAUGUGAAAGCCCUCGGCUUAACCGAGGAAUUGCAUCGGAAACUGUUUUUCUUG
rnacentral:rRNA from 1 species